AGAGUUUGAUCCUGGCUCAGGAUGAACGCUGGCGGCGUGCCUAAUACAUGCAAGUCGAGCGAACAGACGAGGAGCUUGCUCCUUUGACGUUAGCGGCGGACGGGUGAGUAACACGUGGAUAACCUACCUAUAAGACUGGGAUAACUUCGGGAAACCGGAGCUAAUACCGGAUAACAUGUUGAACCGCAUGGUUCAACAGUGAAAGACGGUCUUGCUGUCACUUAUAGAUGGAUCCGCGCCGCAUUAGCUAGUUGGUAAGGUAACGGCUUACCAAGGCAACGAUGCGUAGCCGACCUGAGAGGGUGAUCGGCCACACUGGAACUGAGACACGGUCCAGACUCCUACGGGAGGCAGCAGUAGGGAAUCUUCCGCAAUGGGCGAAAGCCUGACGGAGCAACGCCGCGUGAGUGAAGAAGGUCUUCGGAUCGUAAAACUCUGUUAUUAGGGAAGAACAAAUGUGUAAGUAACUAUGCACGUCUUGACGGUACCUAAUCAGAAAGCCACGGCUAACUACGUGCCAGCAGCCGCGGUAAUACGUAGGUGGCAAGCGUUAUCCGGAAUUAUUGGGCGUAAAGCGCGCGUAGGCGGUUUUUUAAGUCUGAUGUGAAAGCCCACGGCUCAACCGUGGAGGGUCAUUGGAAACUGGAAAACUUGAGUGCAGAAGAGGAAAGUGGAAUUCCAUGUGUAGCGGUGAAAUGCGCAGAGAUAUGGAGGAACACCAGUGGCGAAGGCGACUUUCUGGUCUGUAACUGACGCUGAUGUGCGAAAGCGUGGGGAUCAAACAGGAUUAGAUACCCUGGUAGUCCACGCCGUAAACGAUGAGUGCUAAGUGUUAGGGGGUUUCCGCCCCUUAGUGCUGCAGCUAACGCAUUAAGCACUCCGCCUGGGGAGUACGACCGCAAGGUUGAAACUCAAAGGAAUUGACGGGGACCCGCACAAGCGGUGGAGCAUGUGGUUUAAUUCGAAGCAACGCGAAGAACCUUACCAAAUCUUGACAUCCUCUGAUCCCCUCUAGAGAUAGAGUUUUCCCCUUCGGGGGACAGAGUGACAGGUGGUGCAUGGUUGUCGUCAGCUCGUGUCGUGAGAUGUUGGGUUAAGUCCCGCAACGAGCGCAACCCUUAAGCUUAGUUGCCAUCAUUAAGUUGGGCACUCUAAGUUGACUGCCGGUGACAAACCGGAGGAAGGUGGGGAUGACGUCAAAUCAUCAUGCCCCUUAUGAUUUGGGCUACACACGUGCUACAAUGGACAAUACAAAGGGUAGCGAAAACCGCGAGGUCAAGCAAAUCCCAUAAAGUUGUUCUCAGUUCGGAUUGUAGUCUGCAACUCGACUACAUGAAGCUGGAAUCGCUAGUAAUCGUAGAUCAGCAUGCUACGGUGAAUACGUUCCCGGGUCUUGUACACACCGCCCGUCACACCACGAGAGUUUGUAACACCCGAAGCCGGUGGAGUAACCUUUUGGAGCUAGCCGUCGAAGGUGGGACAAAUGAUUGGGGUGAAGUCGUAACAAGGUAGCCGUAUCGGAAGGUGCGGCUGGAUCACCU
rnacentral:rRNA from 1 species